AUUGUUCGAACUCCCCCGUUUUCUUCUUCGGCUACGGUGUCUCCGAAGUCAAACUCGCCUCAACUCACUCCCACAUGUGCCUACAUCAGUCUAUUAAAUCUCUCUUUCUCUCUCUACUACCAAAGUUUGCUUCUGCUACAGCUCUGCUAUUUCCAUGUCACCACUCGUUGCAGCAAACAAAGCUAAGUAACCCCUUUUUCUCUCUCUUUGUCACUCUUUUUUGAGCUUUGAUAGAGUUAUCUGAAGCUUGAAUUCUCUUUCUAGAAAAAGAUAAAGAAAACCCACAUGGGUAAGGCUAAAAGGGAAGCUGUGACUGAGACUUUGGGGGUUCCAAUGCCCUCAGCUCUGCCCUAUCCUUGCUUCUUCUUGUUCUACUUGAUUCUCCUUCUGGGUUCGUUAAGUUUUGGUUUGGCUGGUGAUCCCUAUGUCUACUAUGAUUGGUCUGUUUCGUACAUUAAUGCCUCCCCACUUGGACCCAAACAAAAGAGUAUGAUGCCUUUUAAGUUGCUUUUCUCGGUUAUAUUUUGACAUUUCAUCCUCGACUCUGGCUUCGAAUUGAUCGCUCUCUUAAAGAAUCUAAAGCUGGCGUUUUCCCCAACAUUGACUCAGUCGUUGCUGCUGCAAGAUAUAACUUUUUCAUCGAAGUCAUUUUUGCAAAUGACUCAAAUUGGGUGAUUUCAUGGUCAUGAAUGAUUGCUGAUGAUGGUGGUGC